rnacentral:lncRNA from 1 species
CAGCAACUCUAGACAUAUUAGGAAAUGGGCCAAAUCCUGGUGGGUAAAAUGGAUCACUAGUUUGAGCUGGGUCAAAAUUUGGAUCAUUUGAAGUCAAAAGUCCAGGGAUUGAAGACGGUGGGGCUUGUCCAUUCAACCAAUCUUGGUACAUCUCUGCCAUCUGUUGUUUUAAUUACUUUAUUUCUUCCAUUGAUACUACUUCCUGUGAAAUCAACUG